AGUCGAGCGAAGGACGAGAAGCUUGCUUCUCUGAUGUUAGCGGCGGACGGGUGAGUAACACGUGGAUAACCUACCUAUAAGACUGGGAUAACUUCGGGAAACCGGAGCUAAUACCGGAUAAUAUUUUGAACCGCAUGGUUCAAAAGUGAAAGACGGUCUUGCUGUCACUUAUAGAUGGAUCCGCGCUGCAUUAGCUAGUUGGUAAGGUAACGGCUUACCAAGGCAACGAUGCAUAGCCGACCUGAGAGGGUGAUCGGCCACACUGGAACUGAGACACGGUCCAGACUCCUACGGGAGGCAGCAGUAGGGAAUCUUCCGCAAUGGGCGAAAGCCUGACGGAGCAACGCCGCGUGAGUGAUGAAGGUCUUCGGAUCGUAAAACUCUGUUAUUAGGGAAGAACAUAUGUGUAAGUAACUGUGCACAUCUUGACGGUACCUAAUCAGAAAGCCACGGCUAACUACGUGCCAGCAGCCGCGGUAAUACGUAGGUGGCAAGCGUUAUCCGGAAUUAUUGGGCGUAAAGCGCGCGUAGGCGGUUUUUUAAGUCUGAUGUGAAAGCCCACGGCUCAACCGUGGAGGGUCAUUGGAAACUGGAAAACUUGAGUGCAGAAGAGGAAAGUGGAAUUCCAUGUGUAGCGGUGAAAUGCGCAGAGAUAUGGAGGAACACCAGUGGCGAAGGCGACUUUCUGGUCUGUAACUGACGCUGAUGUGCGAAAGCGUGGGGAUCAAACAGGAUUAGAUACCCUGGUAGUCCACGCCGUAAACGAUGAGUGCUAAGUGUUAGGGGGUUUCCGCCCCUUAGUGCUGCAGCUAACGCAUUAAGCACUCCGCCUGGGGAGUACGACC
rnacentral:rRNA from 2 species